AUUGAACGCUGGCAGCAGGCCUAACACAUGCAAGUCGAGCGGAUGAAGGGAGCUUGCUCCUGGAUUCAGCGGCGGAUGGGUGAGUAAUGCCUAGGAAUCUGCCUGGUAGUGGGGGAUAACGUCCGGAAACGGGCGCUAAUACCGCAUACGUCCUGAGGGAGAAAGUGGGGGAUCUUCGGACCUCACGCUAUCAGAUGAGCCUAGGUCGGAUUAGCUAGUUGGUGGGGUAAAGGCCUACCAAGGCGACGAUCCGUAACUGGUCUGAGAGGAUGAUCAGUCACACUGGAACUGAGACACGGUCCAGACUCCUACGGGAGGCAGCAGUGGGGAAUAUUGGACAAUGGGCGAAAGCCUGAUCCAGCCAUGCCGCGUGUGUGAAGAAGGUCUUCGGAUUGUAAAGCACUUUAAGUUGGGAGGAAGGGCAGUAAGUUAAUACCUUGCUGUUUUGACGUUACCAACAGAAUAAGCACCGGCUAACUUCGUG
rnacentral:rRNA from 1 species